UUGAGGAUGGUGUGGAACUCU
rnacentral:siRNA from 1 species